AUGGCUCAGGAUGAACGCUGGCGGCGUGCUUAACACAUGCAAGUCGAACGAAGCAUUCCAACUCUCGGAGGAAGAAAUGACUGAGUGGCGGACGGGUGAGUAACGCGUGGGUAACCUGCCUUAUACAGGGGGAUAACAGUUAGAAAUGACUGCUAAUACCGCAUAACCCGCUAGUACCGCAUGGUACAGACGGAAAAGAUUUAUCGGUAUAAGAUGGACCCGCGUCUGAUUAGCUAGUUGGUGAGGUAAUGGCUCACCAAGGCGACGAUCAGUAGCCGGCUUGAGAGAGUGAACGGCCACAUUGGGACUGAGACACGGCCCAAACUCCUACGGGAGGCAGCAGUGGGGAAUAUUGCACAAUGGGGGAAACCCUGAAUGCAGCAACGCCGCGUGAAGGAAGAAGUAUUUCGGUAUGUAAACUUCUAUCAGCAGGAAAGAAAAUGACGGUACCCGACUAAGAAGCCCCGGCUAACUACGUGCCAGCAGCCGC
rnacentral:rRNA from 1 species